CGCCUUGCCAGCCCGCUCAGAAACUCAAAGGAAUUGACGGGGGCCCGCACAAGCGGUGGAGCAUGUGGUUUAAUUCGACGCAACGCGAAGAACCUUACCAGCCCUUGACAUGGGAAGUAUGGGCCGCAGAGACGCGGUCCUUCAGUUCGGCUGGCUUCCACACAGGUGCUGCAUGGCUGUCGUCAGCUCGUGUCGUGAGAUGUUGGGUUAAGUCCCGCAACGAGCGCAACCCUUGUCAUUAGUUGCUACAUUUAGUUGGGCACUCUAAUGAGACUGCCGGUGACAAACCGGAGGAAGGUGGGGAUGACGUCAAGUCCUCAUGGCCCUUAUAGGUGGGGCUACACACGUCAUACAAUGGCCGGUACAAAGGGCUGCCAACCCGCGAGGGGGAGCUAAUCCCAUAAAACCGGUCGUAGUCCGGAUCGUAGUCUGCAACUCGACUACGUGAAGUCGGAAUCGCUAGUAAUCGUGGAUCAGAAUGUCACGGUGAAUACGUUCCCGGGUCUU
rnacentral:rRNA from 1 species